UGAAACACUUAGAAAUGAAUUGACAUUUAAAAUACUACUUUGAUUUGAACCUUGGACCUUUGAAAAGUCCAUUUCAAGGAUCCACCAUGGUGGUAAGUGACGACGACAAGAACAAGAAGUCUUCGAACUCUCCCUCAGCUGUGGAAUCGAAAGCUUACGGCUUGUUCGGAAGGGAGAAGCAUGUGCACAAGGUUCUCGGCCGUGGAAAACAUAUCGAGCCAGCGACUGAUAUAUUCAUGUGGAAGAACAAGAAGAUGUCUGGUGGUGUACUCGGUGGUGCUACAGCUGCUUGGGUUCUCUUAGAGUUAAUGGAGUACUACCUUAAUUAGCACUCUGCUCUGCCAUGUCGUGAUUGUUGUUCUCGCUGUGCUGUUUCUCUGGUCUAAUGACACCAUGUUCAUCAAUAACUCUUGUCCUGCUCUUCACGGUGCCUUUUGUCUACGAUAAGUACAAAGAUCGAGACCAAGAAGCAGUAUGUAGUGUUGGACGAAAAGGUGUUGAGCAAGACGAGAGAUCUCAUUGGUUUCACCAACAAUCUCGAUGGUGUUACGUUCGUGGUCACUGCUAACAUGAUGUUAACCACAUCACUUCGUCAACACGAAUUCAAUAUUUUAUCUUGCUCAAGUUUGAUAGUGUUGAAUUCAAUAUUUUAUCUUGUGAUUCUCUAGUGGAGGAAGUUGAAGCAAUUUGUGGAUGUGUUGGUGCUAGAGUGACACGCUCUAA